rnacentral:rRNA from 1 species
AGAGUUUGAUCAUGGCUCAGAGCGAACGCUGGCGGCAGGCUUAACACAUGCAAGUCGAGCGGGCGUAGCAAUACGUCAGCGGCAGACGGGUGAGUAACGCGUGGGAACGUACCUUUUGGUUCGGAACAACCCAGGGAAACUUGGGCUAAUACCGGAUAAGCCCUUACGGGGAAAGAUUUAUCGCCGAAAGAUCGGCCCGCGUCUGAUUAGCUAGUUGGUGAGGUAACGGCUCACCAAGGCGACGAUCAGUAGCUGGUCUGAGAGGAUGAUCAGCCACAUUGGGACUGAGACACGGCCCAAACUCCUACGGGAGGCAGCAGUGGGGAAUAUUGGACAAUGGGCGCAAGCCUGAUCCAGCCAUGCCGCGUGAGUGAUGAAGGCCCUAGGGUUGUAAAGCUCUUUUGUGCGGGAAGAUAAUGACGGUACCGCAAGAAUAAGCCCCGGCUAACUUCGUGCCAGCAGCCGCGGUAAUACGAAGGGGGCUAGCGUUGCUCGGAAUCACUGGGCGUAAAGGGUGCGUAGGCGGGUCUUUAAGUCAGGGGUGAAAUCCUGGAGCUCAACUCCAGAACUGCCUUUGAUACUGAAGAUCUUGAGUUCGGGAGAGGUGAGUGGAACUGCGAGUGUAGAGGUGAAAUUCGUAGAUAUUCGCAAGAACACCAGUGGCGAAGGCGGCUCACUGGCCCGAUACUGACGCUGAGGCACGAAAGCGUGGGGAGCAAACAGGAUUAGAUACCCCCGUAGUCC